GAUGAACGCUGGCGGCGUGCCUAAUACAUGCAAGUCGAGCGAACGGACGAGAAGCUUGCUUCUCUGAUGUUAGCGGCGGACGGGUGAGUAACACGUGGAUAACCUACCUAUAAGACUGGGAUAACUUCGGGAAACCGGAGCUAAUACCGGAUAAUAUUUUGAACCGCAUGGUUCAAAAGUGAAAGACGGUCUUGCUGUCACUUAUAGAUGGAUCCGCGCUGCAUUAGCUAGUUGGUAAGGUAACGGCUUACCAAGGCAACGAUGCAUAGCCGACCUGAGAGGGUGAUCGGCCACACUGGAACUGAGACACGGUCCAGACUCCUACGGGAGGCAGCAGUAGGGAAUCUUCCGCAAUGGGCGAAAGCCUGACGGAGCAACGCCGCGGGAAUGAUGAAGGUCUUCGGAUCGUAAAACUCUGUUAUUAGGGAAGAACAUAUGUGUAAGUAACUGUGCACAUCUUGACGGUACCUAAUCAGAAAGCCACGGCUAACUACGUG
rnacentral:rRNA from 1 species